UUUACUAAAGCUUGUGAGUACUUACGAAACAGCUUUUUGCAAGGCUCUAUCGCUGAUUGCUUACUUAAUUAAAAAGUUUAACUAGAAGCGAUGGUUUAUGAAAAAGUUUCUCAAAAAAGUUGUAAAGAAUGGAAUUCUGUUGAUUACGUGGGACAACUUUACAUUGAAAAGCUACUUAGUUUAUUAUUUGGAAUUUUGGUUGUUUUGUCAUUUUGUUAUGGACUAUUUGAAAGGUCAAUGCCAAAACUCAUCACCGUUUUUGCAAUUGGCGCUAUAUUUAAUGGUUUCAUCUUAUUGCCGCCGUGGCCGAUGUACCGCACACAAGGUGUUAAUUUUCGCUCUAAUUCCAAGAAACAAAGCUAAUGCCUAUUAAUAGUAUAAACCUAAGAAGGC